AUUGAACGCUGGCGGCAGGCCUAACACAUGCAAGUCGAACGAGUGGCGGACGGGUGAGUAAUUUCUUGGAAACUGCCUGAUGGAGGGGGAUAACUACUGGAAACGGUAGCUAAUACCGCAUACCAUCAGAUGUGCCCAGAUGGGAUUAGCUAGUUGGUGGGGUAACGGCUCAACAAGGCGACGAUCCCUAGCUGGUCUGAGAGGAUGACCAGCCACACUGGGACUGAGACACGGUCCAGACGCCUACGGGAGGCAGCAGUUGGGAAUAUUGCGCAAUGGGCGCAAGCCUGAUGCAGCCAUGCCGCGUGUAUGAAGAAGGCCUUCGGGUUGUAAAGUACUUUCGGCGGUGAGGCGUUACCCACAGAAGAAGCACCGGCUAACUCCGUGCCAGCAGCCGCGGUAAUUC
rnacentral:rRNA from 1 species